rnacentral:rRNA from 1 species
AUUGAACGCUGGCGGCAUGCUUUACACAUGCAAGUCGAACGGUAACAGGCCGCAAGGUGCUGACGAGUGGCGAACGGGUGAGUAAUGCAUCGGAACGUGCCCAGUCGUGGGGGAUAACUACUCGAAAGAGUAGCUCAUACCGCAUACGAUCUAUGGUUGAAAGCGGGGGACCGUAAGGCCUCGCGCGAUUGGAGCGGCCGAUGUCAGAUUAGGUAGUUGGUGGGGUAAAGGCUCACCAAGCCAACGAUCUGUAGCUGGUCUGAGAGGACGACCAGCCACACUGGGACUGAGACACGGCCCAGACUCCUACGGGAGGCAGCAGUGGGGAAUUUUGGACAAUGGGCGCAAGCCUGAUCCAGCAAUGCCGCGUGCAGGAAGAAGGCCUUCGGGUUGUAAACUGCUUUUGUACGGAACGAAACGGCUCUGGUUAAUACCCGGGGCUAAUGACGGUACCGUAAGAAUAAGCACCGGCUAACUACGUG